rnacentral:rRNA from 1 species
CCUACGGGUGGCAGCAGUGAGGAAUAUUGGUCAAUGGGCGAGAGCCUGAACCAGCCAAGUCGCGUGAGGGACGAAUGAUCUAUGGGUUGUAAACUUCUUUUAUAUGGGAAUAAUGUGUGCUACGUGUACCAUGAUGCAUGUACCUUAUGAAUAAGCAUCGGCUAACUCCGUGCCAGCAGCCGCGGUAAUACGGAGGAUGCGAGCGUUAUCCGGAUUUAUUGGGUUUAAAGGGUGCGUAGGGGGUUAUUUAAGUUACUGGUUAAAUGUCGGGGCUUAACCUAGAAUUGCCAUUAAUACUGGUAGACUUGAGUUUAGUCGAGGUAGGCGGAAUAAGUGAAGUAGCGGUGAAAUGCUUAGAUAUCACGCAGAACUCCGAUAGCGAAGGCAGCUUACUAGACUGUGACUGACGCUGAAGCACGAGAGCGUGGGGAGCGAACAGGAUUAGAUACCCUAGUAGUC